UAGAGCCGUAUGAAGGGAAACUCUCACGUACGGUUUUGAAGGGGAGGGGGAGGUAGCAAUAUCUCUCUCGACCCCCAAU
rnacentral:ncRNA from 1 species